AUGGCGGGGGGGGGGGGCUUUGGAGACCCUGACGGGGCUCUGAGAAGGGCCCACGCACACCCGCAGGGUGCUCAUCACCGCCGGGGUGGGAGGGGCUUUGGAGACCCCAACGGGGCUCUGGGAGGGGCACACGCACACCCGCAGGGUGCUCAUCACCGACUUGGGGGGGGCUUUGGAGACCCCAACGGGGCUCUGGGAGGGGCGCACGCACACCGUGCAGGGUGCUCAUCACCGACUGGGGGGGGGGCUUUGGAGAACCCAACGGGGCUCUGGGAGGGGCGCACACCCACAGGUUGCUCAUCACCGACUGGGGGGGGGGCUUUGGAGACCCCAACGGGGCUCUGGGAGGGGCGCAGCACACCCCGCAGGUUGCUCAUCACCGACUGGGAGGGGCUUUGGAGACCCCAACGGGGCUCUGGGAGGGGCACACGCACACCGUGCAGGGUGCUCAUCACCGACUGGGGGGGCCUUUGGAGACCCCGACGGGCUCUGGGAGGGGCGCACGCACACCGUGCAGGGUGCUCAUCACCGACUGGGGGGGCUUUGGAGACCCCAACGGGCUCUGGGAGUGGCGCCCGCACACCGCGGGAAGCCCCUCUUCCAUCCCAACGGCCCAGCACAGCACCCCGUCCCUCCCUCACGCGAACGUCCACGACCACGGGGAGGGGUGGGGGGCGGCGGGCGGAGGGCGGCUGUGCACCUGCUGCAACACCCACUGCCUCGGGGGAUCCGCCGGGACCCCGCGGUGGCGUUCAAGGCUGCGCCCCCGGACAGGUGCCCUCCACCCUGUGGCUGCUGGGGGCAGUUUCCGCGCCCAACGGCUCGGCACCGGGUCCCGGGGCAGGGCGCAGCGCUGCGGGGGGCUGCCGCGGCUCCGGGGGUGGCCCCCGCGUGCGCCCCCGACACCCCGCCGCGGCCGCCGGGCCUCCCCUCGCCCCCUGGGCGGCGCGGGCGCAGCGCGGGCUCACCUGCAGUGUCAGAGGGCCGCCCGGCGGCGCGGGGCCCCGGCGCCUGCACUCAGGAAGCCCGCCGUCCUCAUUCUGCCCGCGGCGGCCGGCGGAGGGGCGGCCCCCUCGGAAAGGCCCGUGUCAGCAGAGGCCCGGCCUGCGCUCCCGCCCCACGUCACCCCGGGCCGGCGGCGAAUGCAAAUGCGCCGCGGAGCCCACCUCCCACCUCCCGGGGCGCAGCCGCCCGGCAGGCAGGGUGGGUACAGAGGAAACUCGUUUUGAAAUUUCCUGUGCAACGAACCGUCGGUGCGCGCUGUCGAGGGCCGGGCCCCGGGAGGCUCCCCCGCCGCCCUGCCCGAGGCGGGGUGCGGGCCCCCGCAGCCCCGGAGGCGGGGGCAGCUCGCGCCAGGCGGCGGGGAGACCCUGCAGCCCCGGGGCGCGCCGCCCCGCAACCUCCUGGCGCCCCUGCCUGCGCCACCACGGCCUCCUCCUUCGCGGGCGCGCGGGCUGGC
rnacentral:lncRNA from 12 species